rnacentral:rRNA from 1 species
CCCUUAGAUGUUCUGGGCCGCACGCGUGCUACACUGAGUGGAUCAGCGGGUCAGGUUGCGCGAAAGUGUUUCCUAAUCUUGAAAUCCGCUCGUGAUGGGGAUUGACGGUUGCAAUUUUCCGUCAUGAACGAGGAAUACCUUGUAAGCGCGGGUCAUCAUCCCGCGCUGAAUACGUCCCUGCCCUUUGUACACACCGCCCGUCGCUCCUACCGAUUGAGUGGUCCGGUGAGGCUUUGGGAUCUGAGCAAAGAGAGCGUUUCGCUCGUUUUGCCCGGAAAACUCAGUCGAACCUUAUCAUUUAGAGGAAGGAGAAGUCGCAACA